UGGCGACCGGCUCACGGGUGAGUAACGCGUAUCCAACCUGGCCCAUACCACGGGACAGCCCGUCGAAAGGCGGAUUAAUACCGUAUGCAGUCAUUAGGGAGCAUUUUUUGAUGACGAAAGGAUUUGGCGGUAUGGGAUGGGGAUGCGUCUGAUUAGCUUGUUGGCGGGGUAACGGCCCACCAAGGCGACGAUCAGUAGGGGUUCUGAGAGGAAGGUCCCCCACAUUGGAACUGAGACACGGUCCAAACUCCUACGGGAGGCAGCAGUGAGGAAUAUUGGUCAAUGGGCGAGAGCCUGAACCAGCCAAGUAGCGUGAGGGAUGACUGCCCUAUGGGUUGUAAACCUCUUUUGUUUGGGAAUAAAGUGCGCCACGUGUGGCGCAUUGCAUGUACCAUUUGAAUAAGGACCGGCUAAUUCCGCGCCAGCAGCCGCGGUAAUACGGAAGGUCCGGGCGUUAUCCGGAUUUAUUGGGUUUAAAGGGAGCGUAGGCCGUCUUAUAACCGUUUUGUUAAAUGUCGGGGCUCAACCUCGGCAUUGCUGCGCGAACUGUGUCACUUGAGUGCGCAGGAAGUAGACGGAAUUCUUCGUGUAGCGGUGAAAUGCUUAGAUAUAAAGAAGAACUCCGAUUGCGAAGGCAGCCUGCUGUAGCGCAACUGACGCUGAAGCUCGAAAGCGGGGGUCUCGAAAAGGAAUAGAUACCCUGGUAGUCCACCCGUACACCCCCAAAGGGGGGGGUGUGCGUCUGAGGUAAGCGGCCUAGCGAAAGCGUUAAGCAUCCCACCUGGGGAGUACGCCGGCAACGGUGAAACUCAAAGGAAUUGACGGGGGCCCGCACAAGCGGCGGAACAUGUGGUUUAAUUCGAUGAUAGGCGAGGAACCUUACCCGGGCUUGAACUGCAGGCGAACGAUACAGAGAUGUUGAGGCCCUUCGGGGCGCCUGUGGAGGUGCUGCAUGGUUGUCGUCAGCUCGUGCCGUGAGGUGUCGGCUUAAGUGCCAUAACGAGCGCAACCCCUGUUCUCAGUUGCCAUCGGGUAAAGCCGGGCACUCUGUGAAGACUGCCUCCGCAAGGAGUGAGGAAGGUGGGGAGGGGGUCAAAUCAGCUCGGCCCUUACGUCCGGGGCUACACACGUGUUACAAUGGCAGGUACAGAGAGAAGGUCCUUUGCAAAGCGGAUCAAAUCCUUAAAGCCUGUCUCAGUUCGGACUGGGG
rnacentral:rRNA from 1 species